rnacentral:misc_RNA from 1 species
CUGGAAUACACGCUCGCAAGAGCGCUACCCAGAAACCCUUUGUGAAUUUUUCUCAAAUGUUGCCUCGGCAGUGACUGGCUCUCUAUAGAGUCCCUCUUUUCUUUGGAGAAGAGGAGCAGGUCGGCCGGUGGCCCUAUAAACUCUUUGUUUUUACACUGUAUUUUCUGAGUUUUUAAAAAAUAAAUGAAUCA